AGUGAACGCUGGCGGUAGGCCUAACACAUGCAAGUCGAACGGCAGCACAGUAAGAGCUUGCUCUUACGGGUGGCGAGUGGCGGACGGGUGAGGAAUACAUCGGAAUCUACUUUUUCGUGGGGGAUAACGUAGGGAAACUUACGCUAAUACCGCAUACGACCUACGGGUGAAAGCAGGGGAUCUUCGGACCUUGCGCGAUUGAAUGAGCCGAUGUCGGAUUAGCUAGUUGGCGGGGUAAAGGCCCACCAAGGCGACGAUCCGUAGCUGGUCUGAGAGGAUGAACCCACACAGUAAAAGAGACACGGUCCAGACUCCUACGGGAGGCAGCAGUGGGGAAUAUUGGACAAUGGGCGCAAGCCUGAUCCAGCCAUACCGCGUGGGUGAAGAAGGCCUUCGGGUUGUAAAGCCCUUUUGUUGGGAAAGAAAAGCAGCAGGUUAAUACCCCGCUGUUCUGACGGUACCCAAAGAAUAAGCACCGGCUAACUUCGUG
rnacentral:rRNA from 1 species